rnacentral:rRNA from 1 species
AGAGUUUGAUCCUGGCUCAGAUUGAAACGCUGGCGGCAGGCCUAACACAUGCAAGUCGAGCGGUAGAGAGAAGCUUGCUUCUCUUGAGAGCGGCGGACGGGUGAGUAAUGCCUAGGAAUCUGCCUGGUAGUGGGGGAUAACGCUCGGAAACGGACGCUAAUACCGCAUACGUCCUACGGGAGAAAGCAGGGGACCUUCGGGCCUUGCGCUAUCAGAUGAGCCUAGGUCGGAUUAGCUAGUUGGUGAGGUAAUGGCUCACCAAGGCGACGAUCCGUAACUGGUCUGAGAGGAUGAUCAGUCACACUGGAACUGAGACACGGUCCAGACUCCUACGGGAGGCAGCAGUGGGGAAUAUUGGACAAUGGGCGAAAGCCUGAUCCAGCCAUGCCGCGUGUGUGAAGAAGGUCUUCGGAUUGUAAAGCACUUUAAGUUGGGAGGAAGGGCAUUUACCUAAUACGUAAGUGUUGGGACGUACCGACAGAAUAAGCCCGCA